UACGUAGGUGGCAAGCGUUGUCCGGAUUUACUGGGCGUAAAGAGCGCGCAGGCGGUCGUUCAAGUCGGGUGUGAAAGCCCCCGGCUCAACUGGGGAGGGUCACGCGAUACUGAUCGACUCGAAGGCAGGAGAGGGUAGUGGAAUUCCCGGUGUAGUGGUGAAAUGCGUAGAUAUCGGGAGGAACACCAGUGGCGAAGGCGACUACCUGGCCUGUUUCUUGACGCUGAGGCGCGAAAGCUAGGGGAGCAAACGGG
rnacentral:rRNA from 1 species